CAUUUGAUACAGUGACAAUUACUUUUCUGAAAAAUAGAUGUGCUCUCUUCAUAACAAAUAUAUGUAUCUCUGUUUUAAAUCCUAGGUUGCAAAAUAAAGAGCUACAUGGCAUCUGCAUGUACUGCUAGUUCAUGACAAACGAACAUUUAUUGUCCAUCUCUUCAAAUUGAAAAGACUGCAGAGCCUGAAUUACCUGCAACGUUAUGCUUCUUAUGAAACAUCAGCCAGCCUACAGAUAGAAGCUCCUUUUUCCAGCUUUAAGCAAGAGGAACCACAAUGAGAUACAGAUCUUGGUAUCAUGGACUGGUCACUUUUUACAACCAACACUACUUGUAAAAUAAGAUUUACAAAUUAAUUCCUAUAAGCUAU